rnacentral:snoRNA from 1 species
UUCCUCACUUAUAAGCCGGGGGACUAGUCUUUGCUAAGUUCACUAGUAAAACGUGAGGAAAAUCAUAGAGACAACCAGACACCGGGGAUGUUUUGAUGUUUUCGGUCACUAUGUGUGUCCCACAUUA